rnacentral:rRNA from 1 species
UACAGGGGGUGCAAACGUUGCUCGGAAUCAUUGGGCGUAAAGCGCACGUAGGCGGUCUAUUAUGUCGGAUGUGAAAGCCCUUGACUUAACUGAGGAAGUGCAUCCGAAACUGGCAGGCUAGAGUACUAAAGAGGGUCGCGGAAUUCCCGGUGUAGAAGUGAAAUUCGUAGAUAUCGGGAGGAACACCGGUGGCGAAGGCGGCGACCUGGGUAGAUACUGACGCUGAGGUGCGAAAGCGUAGAGAGCAAACAGG